CCUACGGGGUGCAGCAGUGAGGAAUAUUGGUCAAUGGACGAGAGUCUGAACCAGCCAAGUAGCGUGAAGGAUGACUGCCCUAUGGGUUGUAAACUUCUUUUAUAAAGGAAUAAAACGAGGCAAGUGUGCCUUUUUGCAUGUACUUUAUGAAUAAGGAUCGGCUAACUCCGUGCCAGCAGCCGCGGUAAUACGGAGGAUCCGAGCGUUAUCCGGAUUUAUUGGGUUUAAAGGGAGCGUAGAUGGGUUGUUAAGUCAGUUGUGAAAGUUUGCGGCUCAACCGUAAAAUUGCAAUUGAUACUGGCAGUCUAGAGUACAGUUGAGGUAGGUGGAAUUCGUGGUGUAGCGGUGAAAUGCUUAGAUAUCACGAAGAACCCCGAUUGCGAAGGCAGCUUACUAAACUGUGACUGACAUUGAUGCUCGAAAGUGUGGGUAUCAAACAGGAUUAGAUACCCCAGUAGUC
rnacentral:rRNA from 1 species